AGCGAACGCUGGCGGCAGGCCUAACACAUGCAAGUCGAACGAACUCUUCGGAGUUAGUGGCGGACGGGUGAGUAACACGUGGGAACGUGCCUUUUGGUUCGGAAUAACUCAGGGAAACUUGUGCUAAUACCGUAUGUGCCCUUCGGGGGAAAGAUUUAUCGCCAUUAGAGCGGCCCGCGUCUGAUUAGCUAGUUGGUGAGGUAACGGCUCACCAAGGCGACGAUCAGUAGCUGGUCUGAGAGGAUGACCAGCCACACUGGGACUGAGACACGGCCCAGACUCCUACGGGAGGCAGCAGUGGGGAAUCUUGCGCAAUGGGCGAAAGCCUGACGCAGCCAUGCCGCGUGAAUGAUGAAGGUCUUAGGAUUGUAAAAUUCUUUCACCGGGGACGAUAAUGACGGUACCCGGAGAAGAAGCCCCGGCUAACUUCGUG
rnacentral:rRNA from 1 species